rnacentral:rRNA from 1 species
AUUAAACGCUGGCGGCAUGCCUUACACAUGCAAGUCGAACGGCAGCACGGGGGCAACCUUGGUGGCGAGUGGCGAACGGGUGAGUAAAGCAUCGGAACGUGCCCUGGAGUGGGGGAUAACGUAGCGAAAGUUACGCUAAUACCGCAUAUUCUGUGAGCAGGAAAGCAGGGGAUCGCAAGACCUUGCGCUCUGGGAGCGGCCGAUGUCGGAUUAGCUAGUUGGUGGGUAAAGGCCUACCAAGGCGACGAUCCGUAGCGGGUCUGAGAGGAUGAUCCGCCACACUGGGACUGAGACACGGCCCAGACUCCUACGGGAGGCAGCAGUGGGGAAUUUUGGACAAUGGGCGAAAGCCUGAUCCAGCCAUGCCGCGUGAGUGAAGAAGGCCUUCGG